GUUUUUGUUUUGUUAAUCAAAGCUUAUCUGAUUCAAUUGUUCAUGUAUGUAUGAAAUUUGGUUUUCUUUUGUAGCCUCUACUUUAGCUUUUCAAUCGCUCCGACAACCAAAACUUUCUGAUGCUCUCAGAGAUAAAAGUUGAACUGAAAACAAAUAAAAGAGAGACACGAAUAAAAGUUUUACUUGAAGAGGCACAUGACUGGAAUCUUCCCACUCCAUGCAAGCCAAUACCACAGGUAGCUGAGAGCCUGAAGCUGGUGAGAACAAAGAGAGAAAGCAUUUUUUGCCUGUUUGCCUUUCAUUCUUUCUGGGUUCGAAUUUAGAAUCAGCAGCCAUAAGUGGAAUGGCUCUUGCAAAUCAUAAAUGGAAAAAAAGAGGAAUACCUAAAGCUUUUGAGUAUCACAAUCUAUUCGUAAGUACAAAGGGAAGGAGUGGACUAAAGCAUUUGCCUCUUUUCCCUUUGGAGAAGAGCAUCACAGGGGAGAGCCUGGAGUAGAUGUAUAAUGGCUCAGUGCUCAUUGCUCCUUCGCAACACAGAACAUGGGGUUGAAGCAUCGCACGGGUUCUCUUUCUAGUUAAUACAAAUUCCCAAGAAUAUUGGAUGGUCAGGUUACAUAUUACAAACCAUGCCCUCAUGCUCUUACUAACCAGCACUCAGCUACAGUGGAAUUAUGCAACCUGAAUAGGAUAAAAUGGUCAUUACCACUUUCCCAUUUCCCCAUUUCUUUUGUUUUUUCCCAACACAGAACCUUCUUCAUCCAUGUUCUGUUCUUCUCUUCUCCUUUUCUCAGACAAAUCUACACAUCACAAAACUGUACUAUAAUUCAAUGUUUGAAUUGGUACAAAAACCCUUUCUUCACAAUUGAUCACACCCUUUUUGCCACUUACUUUUGGGUCGGUGCCAAUUGGGAAUUUAGCCCAAUUCAAAUUUGGGUGAGACCAGUUUUAGCCUCUGAGAAAUUCUCACACACUUGCCCAGAAAAAAAGGGCCUGCAAAGUUUGGACCUUUCAGCUUCAGAUGGCUUCUUCCAGCUCCCUUGCUGGAAAGGGAAAACGACAUCCUGUUCUAGAGGACUCUCCGGCCUUCUGCUUGAGAAUUUUCAGUCGUGAAGAUCUCAAAGACGGGAAGAAGGAACUUCCUCCAGCAGCUGUGAGGGAGUAUGGACAUCAAAUGGCAGACGAUUUUAAAUUGUUUUCUUUGUUUUCUUUCAAACAAUAGUUGAUAAUUUUUAGCCAUUCCAGAUUUCAGUUUCUUUGUUAUUAUCUUAUAUUUGCUCCUUAUUGUCUUUACGCUUUA